GGUGAACCUGCGGAAGGAUCAUUACCGAUGUGAAAAAUCCAAGGUUAAACAUCAUUAACCAGUGUGAACUGUGAAACAACUCAUUAGGGGUCGGCACAGGCGUGUGUCGUUAAAUGGCGGAUAGGUUCCUUCCGCCAGCCCCGCCAUUGUGUUUAUUAUAUCACUUUGAACGUUUAAGACUGAGAACUAUGUAUCAUGCAUUAAAUGUAUGAGAAAGAAGGAAAGAAAAAUGAGAGACAACUUUUGACGGUGGAUCUCUUGGCUCACGUAUCGAUGAAGAACGCAGCCAGCUGCGAUAUGUAGUGUGAAUUGCAGAAUUCAGUGAAUCAUUGAAUCUUUGAACGCAAAUGGCGCUCUUGGGUUCUCCCAGGAGCAUGUCUGUCUGAGUGUCGGAUUUUAUCGAACGCACUCGUGUGUGCGGUAUUGAGGUGUCACGGCGUGUUAGCAAGCAAGCAUUAAAUCGCCGUGUCCCUUGAAGGACAGCAGCAUUGGACUCGCAUUCUCUAUUGAAACUUGAGUGCGAAGGCUAAAGAUAAUAUUUUCCUUCGCCCAAACAUGCAAUAGCAGAAACAAAAUCCAAUCAAAGCAGUGACAGACAAUAAACAUCAAAUCUUGACCUCAGAUCAGGCAAGGCUACCCGCUGA
rnacentral:sRNA from 1 species